UACGGAGGGUGCAAGCGUUAAUCGGAAUUACUGGGCGUAAAGCGUACGUAGGUGGUUUGUUAAGCCAGCUGUGAAAUCCCCGGGCUCAACCUGGGUACUGCAGUUGGAACUGGCAAGCUAGAGUAGGGUAGAGGGGUGUGGAAUUCCAGGUGUAGCGGUGAAAUGCGUAGAUAUCUGGAGGAACAUCAGUGGCGAAGGCGACACCCUGGACUCAUACUGACACUGAGGUACGAAAGCAAGGGGAUCAAAC
rnacentral:rRNA from 1 species